rnacentral:ribozyme from 1 species
UACAAAUCUCCGCAUAUUGAAGGGAUUAGAUACAAAUACUCGUACACUUACUAAAGACAUCAUUCAAUUUUAUUUCAAUUCAGUUUUUGUUUCAAUUUCUGAAAAAAAACCAAAGUGGUGCCUGUCGCCUAAAUAUCCAAGCUUGGGUAGACGGGGAAACCCACCCCCUUGGGCGAAUGGGUGGCAUGGCCGAAUUGAGACGG